rnacentral:rRNA from 1 species
AAUGAACGCUAGCUACAGGCUUAACACAUGCAAGUCGAGGGGCAGCAUGAGGUCAGCUUGCUGACUUUGAUGGCGACCGGCGCACGGGUGAGUAACGCGUAUCCAACCUUCCCGCGACUGGGGGAUAACCUUGCGAAAGUAAGACUAAUACCCCAUGGUUUCCGAGGCGGACAUCCAAUUUGGAAUAAAGAUUCAUCGGUUGUGGAUGGGGAUGCGUCUGAUUAGCUUGUUGGCGGGGUAACGGCCCACCAAGGCUACGAUCAGUAGGGGUUCUGAGAGGAAGGUCCCCCACAUUGGAACUGAGACACGGUCCAAACUCCUACGGGAGGCAGCAGUGAGGAAUAUUGGUCAAUGGACGAGAGUCUGAACCAGCCAAGUAGCGUGCAGGAUGACGGCCCUAUGGGUUGUAAACUGCUUUUAUACGGGAAUAAAGUCAACCACGUGUGGUUGUUUGUAUGUACCGUAUGAAUAAGGACCGGCUAAUUCCGUGCCAGCAGCCGCCGUAACAC